rnacentral:rRNA from 1 species
GACGAACGCUGGCGGCGUGCUUAACACAUGCAAGUCGAACGGUGAAGCGCCUUCCUUUUUGGUGGGUGUGGAUGAGUGGCGAACGGGUGAGUAACACGUGAGUAACCUGCCCCCUUCUUCUGGAUAACCGCAUGAAAGUGUGGCUAAUACGGGAUAUUCUGGGUCUGUCGCAUGAUGGGUCUGGGAAAGAUAUUGUUUCGGUGGGGGAUGGGCUCGCGGCCUAUCAGCUUGUUGGUGGGGUGAUGGCCUACCAAGGCGGUGACGGGUAGCCGGCCUGAGAGGGUGGACGGUCACACGGGGACGGAGACACGGCCCAGACUCCUACGGGAGGCAGAAGUGGGGAAUAUUGCACAAUGGGCGCAAGCCUGAUGCAGCGACGCCGCGUGAGGGAUGGAGGCCUUCGGGUUGUGAACCUCUUUCGCCAGUGAAGCAGGCCUGCCUCGUUUGUGGGUGGGUUGACGGUAGCUGGAUAAGAAGCGCCGGCUAACUACGUG